ensembl:lncRNA
CCACAACCAUACAUAAACGUACAGGUAAACGUUAACAAAUACAUACAUUUAAAGCCAAAACAUCUGUAUACAUUUAAAGUCACUGUACGUCUAUACGUUUAACAACAUAAGUCGUGCUUAAAACACGUUUGGAAUAGGCAAGCAGGCAUGUGAGUUAAAUCUAUCCUCUUCUCAUUCUCACGUCUUGGACGUGUUGCAAAGGAUGCAAGCACAAAUUAUUUUAACUUCUGAACCUUUUAAAGAAAUUCUGGUCGAUCAACAAAGGUAGCAUAGACUAGAGGACAACGGAUGUCACAGAUAUGUUCUGCACUUCCUGUCCGUGUCCUAGUUUCUGCUUAGAGCCUCUUCACCACACAGAGAAACAUGCCCACUUCUCAACAGUUUACCAUUAGCGAUGGGCAUAGUGAAACCUGCCUCAUGUUUAGCUUUUAGCUUUACCUAGUCUCGCAAAGCCAGACCAAACUACAGCAAGUAGAAUGAAUAAGCUUUACCUAAUCAACCAAUCAACACCCUGAAUCGUUUUUUCCACAUGUUUCGCAUUCUCACACUACGUUUCCUCAGAUUAAGAUAGUUAACUCAUUGCCAUCCACAGAGAAAAACAUGCAUUCGGGAAAGAUCCACACACACACACACACACACACACACACACACACACACACACACACACACACACACACACACACACACACACACACACACACACACACACACAAAAUCUCUUUCUCAAUCCAACCACAACCACGCUAAUAUCAUUUUUAAUGACAAACCAAUUGAGAGGGUUAGAAGCUGCAACCACCUAGAAUUACAACAGUGGAUGUUUUUUUACAUAAGCUUCACUACUUUCAGGUGGACUGUUAUUUUAGAAUUAUUUUACAAAACGGUCCUUCAGAGCGUUUUGUCCUCUGGCUUAGCUUAGUCUGUGUAUGCGGGAUCAUGCUGAAAAAGACCAAGAUAAAUUGUUUUGUUUGGUAAAGACAGCGAGCAAAAUGAUUGGAUUUUGUCAGAGGUCUGU